UAGGGGGCAAGCGUUAUCCGGAUUUACUGGGUGUAAAGGGAGCGUAGACGGCAUGACAAGUCUGAUGUGAAAGAUCGGGGCUCAACCCCGGGCCUGCAUUGGAAACUGCCAGGCUGGAGUACAGGAGAGGUAAGCGGAAUUCCUAGUGUAGCGGUGAAAUGCGUAGAUAUUAGGAGGAACACCAGUGGCGAAGGCGGCUUACUGGACUGUAACUGACGUUGAGGCUCGAAAGCGUGGGGAGCAAA
rnacentral:rRNA from 1 species